rnacentral:lncRNA from 1 species
UGGCAGUAUGGGCACCAUUUAAUAAGUUUUUAUGUAUAUUUUUGUGUAUGUUGAUGUUUCUAAUAAUGCUCCACACGCUCAUGUAAUAUGUGUGCACGAACUACUUGGUUAAAUUUGUCCUGGAACCUGGAUCAAAUAUUUGGUUGGAUCCCCUUCUAAACUUUGUAAACACUUGCUUGGUUCAGGACCUCACUGAACCUUGAAUCGGUUGUUAAUAGUGGAGAAAUUGAGUCAAAAAAAUCGCGGCCAGGAAAUGGUUUCUUAGGGAAGUCAGAAAAUGAAAUAUGAGCAGUCAGUGCCUCAGUGUGGCAGGAACGUUCUGGUCAUGGGCGACAGGCGACAGCCGACAGCACACAAGGGCUCUUGACAUAAACCCUCACGAGCUCUGGCUUGUCAACAACAGCUUGUCCGGCGCCUAUGGGCUCCACGGUCCCACUCCAUUUUUGUCUAGUCUGUUGCUUCCUUAAUUGAACCAACCACUAUUCCCUCCAUCUGAAAUACCCCCUCC